CCUACGGGAGGCAGCAGUGAGGAAUAUUGGUCAAUGGGCGAGAGCCUGAACCAGCCAAGUCGCGUGAAGGAUGACGGCCCUACGGGUUGUAAACUUCUUUUGUCAGGGAGCAAUUGGGUCCACGCGUGGGCUUAGCGAGAGUACCUGAAGAAAAAGCAUCUGCUAACUCCGUGCCAGCAGCCGCGGUAAUACGGAGGAUGCGAGCGUUAUCCGGAGUUAUUGGGUUUAAAGGGUGCGUAGGCGGAAUAUCAAGUCAGCGGUAAAAAUUCGGGGCUCAACCCCGUCGUGCCGUUGAAACUGAUGUUCUUGAGUGGGCGAGAAGGAUGCGGAAUGCGUGGUGUAGCGGUGAAAUGCAUAGAUAUCACGCAGAACUCCGAUUGCGAAGGCAGCAUACCGGCGCCCAACUGACGCUGAAGCACGAAAGCGUGGGGAGCGAACAGGAUUAGAUACCCUAGUAGUC
rnacentral:rRNA from 1 species